rnacentral:rRNA from 1 species
AUACGUACUGUGCGAACGUUAUUGGGAAUCACUGGGCUUAAAGGGUGCGUAGGCGGCCAGAUAAGUAGGAUGUGAAAUCCCCCGGCUUAACCGGGGAACUGCGUUCUAAACUGUUUGGCUUGAGUAAGAUAGGGGUGUGCGGAACUUCCGGUGGAGCGGUGAAAUGUGUUGAGAUCGGAAGGAACACCAGUAGCGAAGGCGGCACACUGGGUCUUAACUGACGCUGAGGCACGAAAGCUAGGGUAGCGAACGGGAUUAGAUACCCUAGUAGUCC